ACGUGCCACUUCAUCCAAGGGUCUCCAUUCCAUAUGUAUCACUAUAAAUACCCCCAUUGUAUAAUGUCAAAAGGCUAAUGCAAGAAUCAAUACUAAAGACUACAUUUACUCAACUCUCUCAGUUACUUGCAAUACAUAAAUCGAAUUUAUACACUUUCACAUAUACAUUUGCGAGCACCGGUUGGUAAUUAUUGUACAAUCGGAUUACG
rnacentral:lncRNA from 1 species